rnacentral:lncRNA from 1 species
AAUGAAUCGGAUGCUCCUAAAAUGAGCAUGGUAGUGCCAAGUAUUAAAAGAAGAGUUUAAAAGAGGGAGGAAUUUUACAAAAACGAUAAAUGGGGACUUCUGCCUCCUUCACCUUAGCCAGCUAUGGUGGAGUCACAAAGCCAGGAAUGGAGAAGGAAGCAUGGGAGCAGAGAAAUGUGACACAAAGCAGUGUGGUGAAAGGGCAAGUCAGGAGAAGCACUUUGGUCUGAACAGGCAUCCUUCCUUUUCCAGCCCCAGGGGUGCCCUGAGCAUUGGUGCCCUGAGCAUUGCUAUGCUCCCUUGGGCACUGCACCAAUGGGACCUCGGAUCUGGCCCUCACUCUCAGUGUCAUUUCAUCUCCUCUGUGAGCUGCUUGGGCAGGCUUUUCAAGACUCUGACUUCGUUGCUGACACAGAGUAAGACUCUCAUUGCAACUUCAGAAGUUCCUUGCAGGUCUGCAGUUUUUGAACCCAGAACAAGACAGAGAAGCCAGCAGGAGCUGGAAGAGGUGACACGAUGCCUACACUACACAACAGUACUCUUCCCUGCCCUCCAUCCCCCAGCAAAAGGGCUACCUAUAGAAGCUGCAUGGUACUGACCUGGUCGUUAUCGGGUAUAACCAUACACACAUAAGUGCAAUGGGGACAACAAAGGCAAUAAGGGCAAAAAACAGAUUGAAGCGAUGGCCUGGAAAUUUGCUUACAGAAAGAAAAGGCACAGAGCUCUCUUGUAGGUUGUAUUCUGGGGAAAAUCCAUGCUUUGGCCAGGAAAGUCCAAGCCUAGAUGUCCACUUACAGGCAGUGUAGGGGGGUGGGGUUUAAAUAACUCUGUAAGUAUUGCACUAGGGAAAAAGAUUUGAGCAUGUGGUUAGUGGGUCUGGUGUGCAUUUUUAAUCCGUUUUCCUAAAAAGGGGGAAGAUACCUCUGGUGCUGUCCAGCUGAAGAUCAGCCGCACCUGGCAUCUUCAUGGCCACAAGUGUGGAAGCCUGGAUGUGGGACUGUGGGGGCAGCAGAACGCAAAGGGGGCUGAGGGCUCUGCUGUGGUGCUGUCUCAUCGGGCAUCUCACUUGUGCUUUGCAGGAGCAAUGCAGGGAAGGGCUGAAGAUGCUGAGAGAUGAUACGAGUGUGCGUUAUGGUCCUGAAAUGCUGUUUGGGUGCAUGAAACAGGGAGAAAUACCUGAAGGGAGUAUCCAGCUGCACGUUCUUUUCCCUUCUUUUUCCAGCUUUCAGCUGAACUGCAAAGCCAAGGGGGUCUGCUAAGAGCCUGGGCCCGUCCAUUUGUCUCUCCCCCUACUUCUCUGUCCCUAACCCCCCUCUCUCUCCCCUCCCGCAGCUCGGGAGGGUGGAGGUGCGAUUCGCUAUGCCAGUUUUUUAUUUCCAGCAUGCUUGACAGGCUGGGCGAGGAAGGCGUUAAUGUUUUCUGACAGGCCCCCUCUAAUUGUUGGAGCUUUUCUUCUCUGCCUUUUCUGUGAAAUUCUGACUUAGGCGAGCAGCAUAACAAAAUGCUCUGGCAUUGAAAUGUGCGCUUGCACUACACUGGGCUCGGGGAAACAGCAUUAUUCAUGAAGAUUUUCAGCUGUUUUUGUCUUUUAACUAACCUUUGAGUUUGAUCAGAGGCUAGCCGGGCUCCCUUUCUCAAAAGGCGGUCUUGGCAACCCGACAAUGGAGCCAAACUGUUUUCCCUGUUAAAGAGAUAACUAUGCCGUUGAGUUGGUACAUGGGGGAAAUUAAUCUUCAGGCGCAUACAAAUGAUAGGUUUACCUCGGUCUGCAAUCGCCUGCAUGGGAUUAUUAAUAGGACGCGGGUAAGGAGCAGGAAAAAUUCAGUCUGGGGCAGGGAACUUGGGGGAAGAAGAAGAAGAAAAAAAAAAUCCCAAACCCAAACCCAUCAUCCCUUUUGAUUGCAUAAAGCCUGCGAUUGAUUCCUCACCACUUGCCUUUUGCAGCAGGAAUUAGCUGUGCAUUGUGCGGGCUGACACGCUAAAAGCGAGCCCGCUUGGGAGCAAGAAGUUGCUGCGCGCUGGGACGGAGCGGGGUGGCGGCCGGGGGCGGGGGGCUCUCCCCGCUCCCCUUUGCAAAGGGCGGAGGUGUUGGGGGGGGUGGAGGGGUGGAGGAGGCAGAGAAUGCCCCCUGCCCUUCAAGGCGAGCUAAUCCCUGAAUGCACUGAGUAACAGGCGCUGCAUUAUGGAGCCCCCCAGUCCCCUCGGCGCUGCAGCGCCCGCCUGCCCUUGGGCAGGUGCCCGCUUACCGGGGGGAAAAACAACAAAAAAGGGAAAAUAAAGUUUUAUAAAAGGCUCCCCA